UACGUAUGGUGCAAGCGUUAUCCGGAUUUACUGGGUGUAAAGGGUGCGUAGGCGGCACAGCAAGUCAGAUGUGAAAGACCGGGGCUCAACCCCGGGGCUGCAUUUGAAACUGCCGAGCUUGAGUCCGGGAGAGGCAGGCGGAAUUCCUAGUGUAGCGGUGAAAUGCGUAGAUAUUAGGAGGAACACCAGUGGCGAAGGCGGCCUGCUGGACCGGAACUGACGCUGAGGCACGAAAGCGUGGGGAGCAAACAGG
rnacentral:rRNA from 1 species